UGCCUGCGGAGGGAUCAUUGCUGGAACGCGCUUCGGCGCACCCAGAAACCCUUUGUGAACUUAUACCUAUUGUUGCCUCGGCGCAGGCCGGCCUCUUCACUGAGGCCCCCUGGAAACAGGGAGCAGCCCGCCGGCGGCCAACCAAACUCUUGUUUCUAUAGUGAAUCUCUGAGUAAAAAAACAUAAAUGAAUCAAAACUUUCAACAACGGAUCUCUUGGUUCUGGCAUCGAUGAAGAACGCAGCGAAAUGCGAUAAGUAAUGUGAAUUGCAGAAUUCAGUGAAUCAUCGAAUCUUUGAACGCACAUUGCGCCCUCUGGUAUUCCGGAGGGCAUGCCUGUUCGAGCGUCAUUUCAACCCUCAAGCCUGGCUUGGUGAUGGGGCACUGCCUGUAAUAGGGCAGGCCCUGAAAUCUAGUGGCGAGCUCGCCAGGACCCCGAGCGUAGUAGUUAUAUCUCGCUCUGGAAGGCCCUGGCGGUGCCCUGCCGUUAAACCCCCAACUUCUGAAAAUUUGACCUCGGAUCAGGUAGGAAUACCCGCUGAACUUAAGCAUAUCAAA
rnacentral:rRNA from 1 species